UUUUUUAUCUAUUUCAUGAUAAAUUUUUGUGCUUUUGAUGAAAAGGAAGUAUGAAUUUUAUUCUGGGUUUUGGAUAUGAGUAGUAGAUUGUGAUUUGUAGCACACAUAUAUACUGGGUGUUGUGAUGUACAUAUAUUUAGAACUAUUUAGAACCAAUUUCAGGGAUUUGGUCAAUUCAAUUUGCCUAUGAUUUGAGUACUGCUAGCAUCCUUGUAUCAUUGGAUAUCUGUAAUGGGUUGAGUUUGAUUUUGUUUUGGUGAAUUUUCUGGACCCUUGUAACUUGUGUUCAUUGGUGUUGAUCCCGUUUUGACUUAGUAGAGGUUCAACAUGUGUCAGCAAUGCAACUUUGAGAUUGAAUUCUGUUGUGUUCUAGGCUGUAGGAUUAAGGUUUGAUCUGUAUUCAAUCUUGAUAUGAACUGAUAUUAAGGUUUUAAGAAAGUUGCUGUUUGGAAAGAUGAGAUUAAUGUAUGCCUUGCUUCUUUAGAAAGAAUCCUUUUCUAAACAUUGAGAUAAUACUAAAAUAUAUGCAAGAUUUUAGAGUGUAGGAAAGAUUGAAAGCUGCACAGCCUGCACUGAGGGCUGAGGCUUAGGUUUGAGAGGUUGGACCGUCGGACUGAUGGACCGUCGAACUAGGAAUCAGUAGGAACUAUUUGGCUAUUUUGCUAUUUUGUUAUAUGCUUUCAGGGGUAGAUAAUGCACCCAAUUGAACAAAUUGAUUUGAGUGGUCUGUAUGUCAAUGAGUUUAUCGAUGAAGACACAGGUUUCUGAAUCUUUUUAUUCCAUAAGCUUCAUGAAUUAAGUUGUGAUACCCCGGAAAUUCGUAUUUAUUUUCCGAGGAUUUUUCGGAAUCUAAUUUAUGGUUAUUGGACGGUUUCGUGGCUCAUGGACGGAGCGGAAGUGUUUCGAGCGGAUUUUUAUUUGAAAAGUGUGGAUUUAGGGGGGGGGUUCAAGGUUGACUUUUGAUACAUUGAGAUUCUCCAAAAAAUUCCUUCACGAAAGUCGUAGAGCAUGCACGUCGAUACGAGUUCGUGGACGUGCAGUGCGCAUCAAUUGGAGUUCGUAUGAGAAAGUUAAGGUCUGCGGAAGUUUUGGGAAAGUUCUAUAAAUAGGAGUUUCCAUUUUCGGAAACUUACUAUUUUUAUUUUUCCACUUUCCUUUUCCGAAAACUCUGAAACUCUCCGUUCUCUCUCUUCUUUGCGACUGACCCGACCCGAACCGAACCCGGAGAUCCGACCCGUCCGGCAGUCCUUAUUCCGGCGACCUCUACCGGUGAAACUCUCCAGAUCAGCUCGUCUCCUCCGUGCGCUCCUAUCUGUGGUAUCCUCUUGAGGCGAUUCUCCUCCACGGCGGCGCUGCAAGGCGGCACCGUUUGAGGUAUUCGGACCCGAUCGGAAAACGCAGUUCCGGCGCUUUUAGGAAGCAUGGGUUAAUCCUGCAGGUCAGGGAAAUCGUGGUUGAAUCUGAAGUAGCGUGCUAGCAGCUUUACAGUAGGAAGUCAAUUUUGUGACUUUACCGUUAUUAAGACUUCCGUUGUAGUGAGCUCUGAGGAGCAUUUACGUUUUAUUUUGUUGUUGACAAUUUAAUUUGUAAGCUUGUGUAGUAUAUAACUCUGUGGAGAGCGAGUGUAUAUUUAACUUUGAGGGUUCAGGGCAUCAGUUUGUACUUGGUUUAAAGGGAAAAAGUUUUCAGGUAUUUUGUAUUUA